ACUCCUACGGGAGGCAGCAGUGGGGAAUAUUGGACAAUGGGCGCAAGCCUGAUCCAGCCAUGCCGCGUGAGUGAUGAAGGCCCUAGGGUUGUAAAGCUCUUUCACCGGUGAAGAUAAUGACGGUAACCGGAGAAGAAGCCCCGGCUAACUUCGUGCCAGCAGCCGCGGUAAUACGAAGGGGGCUAGCGUUGUUCGGAUUUACUGGGCGUAAAGCGCACGUAGGCGGACUAUUAAGUCAGGGGUGAAAUCCCGGGGCUCAACCCCGGAACUGCCUUUGAUACUGGUAGUCUUGAGUUCGAGAGAGGUGAGUGGAAUUCCGAGUGUAGAGGUGAAAUUCGUAGAUAUUCGGAGGAACACCAGUGGCGAAGGCGGCUCACUGGCUCGAUACUGACGCUGAGGUGCGAAAGCGUGGGGAGCAAACAGGAUUAGAAACCCCGGUAGUCCC
rnacentral:rRNA from 1 species